UACGGAGGGUGCAAGCGUUAUCCGGAUUCACUGGGUUUAAAGGGUGCGUAGGCGGCCAGCACAAGUCAGUUGUGAAAUCUCCGAGCUUAACUCGGAAAGGUCAACUGAUACUGUGCGGCUAGAGUGCGGAAGGGGCAACUGGAAUUCUUGGUGUAGCGGUGAAAUGCGUAGAUAUCUGGAGGAAUACCAAUUGCGAAGGCAGCUCGCUGGGACGUUACGUGACGCUGAGACGCGAAAGCGUGGGGAGCAAACAGG
rnacentral:rRNA from 1 species